UAGGGAAUAUUAGAAAUGGACGAAAGUCUGAUCUAGCAACACCGCGUGUGCGAAGAAGGCCUUCGGGUCGUAAAGCACUUUUUGGAAGGAAUAGGAAGGAAUGUACUUCCAGAAUAAGUCUCGGCUAACUACGUGCCAGCAGCCGCGGUAACACGUAGGAGGCGAACGUUAUCCGGAUUUACUGGGCGUAAAGCGCGUGUAGGUGGUACUGUAAGUAGGGUGUGAAAGCUCCUGGCUCAACUGGGAGAGGCCGUUCUAAACUACAGAACUAGAGGAUGGUAGAGGGAGGUGGAAUUCCAGGUGUAGCGGUGGAAUGCGCAGAUAUCUAGAGGAACACCGGUGGCGAAGGCGGCCUCCUGGACCAUUCCUGACACUCAGACGCGAAAGCUAGGGUAGCAAACGG
rnacentral:rRNA from 1 species